UACAGAGGGUGCAAGCGUUAAUCGGAUUUACUGGGCGUAAAGCGUGCGUAGGCGGCUCGCUAAGUCGGUUGUGAAAUCCCUGGGCUUAACCUGGGAACUGCAGUCGAUACUGGCGAACUAGAGUACGGUAGAGGGUGGCGGAACUCCGGGUGUAGCGGUGAAAUGCGUAGAUAUCCGGAAGAACACCGAUGGCGAAGGCAACCACCUGGGCCUGUACUGACGCUGAGGUACGAAAGCGUGGGGAGCAAACAGG
rnacentral:rRNA from 1 species